rnacentral:rRNA from 1 species
GACGAACGCUGGCGGCGUGCCUAAUACAUGCAAGUCGAACGAGAGCGACCGGUGCUUGCACUGGUCAAUCUAGUGGCGAACGGGUGAGUAACACGUGGGUAACCUGCCCAUCAGAGGGGGAUAACAUUCGGAAACGGAUGCUAAAACCGCAUAGGUCCUUUAACCGCAUGGUUGAAGGAGGAAAAGAGGCGCAAGCUUCUGCUGAUGGAUGGACCCGCGGUGCAUUAGCUAGUUGGUGAGGUAACGGCUCACCAAGGCCGUGAUGCAUAGCCGACCUGAGAGGGUGAUCGGCCACAUUGGGACUGAGACACGGCCCAAACUCCUACGGGAGGCAGCAGUAGGGAAUCUUCCGCAAUGGACGCAAGUCUGACGGAGCAACGCCGCGUGAGUGAAGAAGGUGUUCGGAUCGUAAAACUCUGUUGUUAGAGAAGAACAAGUGCUAGAGUAACUGUUAGCGCCUUGACGGUAUCUAACCAGAAAGCCACGGCUAACUACGUG